rnacentral:rRNA from 1 species
UACGAAGGGGACUAGCGUUGUUCGGAAUCACUGGGCGUAAAGCGCACGUAGGCGGAUCAUUUAGUCAGGGGUGAAAUCCCGGGGCUCAACCUCGGAACUGCCUUUGAUACUGAUGGUCUCGAGUCCGAUAGAGGUGGGUAGAAUUCCUAGUGUAGAGGUGAAAUUCGUAGAUAUUAGGAAGAAUACCGGUGGCGAAGGCGGCCCACUGGAUCGGUACUGACGCUGAGGUGCGAAAGCGUGGGGAGCAAGCAGGAUUAGAUACCCUAGUAGU